rnacentral:rRNA from 1 species
UACGUAGGGUGCAAGCGUUGUCCGGAAUUACUGGGCGUAAAGAGCUCGUAGGCGGUCUGUCGCGUCGGCUGUGAAAUCCCGAGGCUCAACCUCGGGACUGCAGUCGAUACGGGCAAACUAGAGUAUUGCAGGGGAGACUGGAAUUCCUGGUGUAGCGGUGAAAUGCGCAGAUAUCAGGAGGAACACCGGUGGCGAAGGCGGGUCUCUGGGCAAUAACUGACGCUGAGGAGCGAAAGCGUGGGGAGCGAACAGG